UAGUCCGCACGAGCGCACCCUUAUUUUUAGUUGCCUUAUGGAACUCUAGAAAGACUGCCGGUUAUAAACCGGAGGAAGGCGGGGAUGACGUCAAGUCAGCAUGCCCCUUACACCCUGGGCUACACACGUGCUACAAUGGGCGAGACAAUGAGAUGCAACUCUGCGAAGAUUAGCUAAUCUAUAAACUCGUUCUAAGUUCGGAUUGUAGGCUGCAACUCGCCUGCAUGAAGUUGGAAUCGCUAGUAAUCGCUGGUCAGCUAUACAGCGGUGAAUUCGUUCCCGGGCCUU
rnacentral:rRNA from 1 species